rnacentral:lncRNA from 1 species
AGAGAUCUGCCCCAUCAGGCAGCGGAGGCAGGCGGCAGCUCGGCAGCCCCGAGGGAGGGAGAGAACCCCCGCAUCUGGGCCUGGGCAGGGGUAUUCUCUUCUCACAGAUGCCACACCCCAGGAGCCACCUCCAUUUUGCGGGACUGCUGUUUCCCUCCCCCAGUGGCCUGCAGAAGAUUCGAUCCGUAUAGAAAUCCUCGGACCUGGGACACAGGAGACCGGGAAUUUGAUGAAAGGUAAACGAUUUAUGCAAUAUGGAGAGAAAUCAAAGCCUGCGGAAUUUAGAAGGCUGCAAAAGAACAAGGCGAGCCCCGAUUGGUGGCAAACCUGAAUUCCAGCCCAGACCCAGCUACCGGAUGACUUCGGACAAAUCACCUCACCUCUCUGAGCCUCAGAUUAUUUAUCUGCAAAAGCAGAGGUUACAGAAGAAAUGGCGAGAAAAGGCCAGAGAGGCAUAGGGACCGUCCUGCCACACCGCAGGCAGAUGAUCAACAAUGGGCAACUGCCUUUUACUUUGACGACGGUGAACCUGGGCUAGCGCUUGACUCUCCUGGGCCUACAGGAAGAUUACUGCUCUCCCCAAGGCAUGAGAGAGUCAUGGGAUGGUACACCUGUUUGCCAUGGAGGGCACGGAGUCCUCUGAAGAAGGAACAGCUAAGGGGGAAUCUGAAUCAAGGGAAUGGACAGACACGUGAAGGGAUGGGGACUGGACCUGGAAAGAGAGAGAACUGGGAAGUUCAAAGGCCCUGGGGUAGAAGGGAACGCAGUAAGUUUGACCAUUGAAGAGGGGAGAACAGAGGGGUGGCAAGGAAGAUCUACAAGGAAACAAAGAGGUGGGUCACCUUCAAAGGGUGGGAGACACCAAGGUAAAGACCAGGUUUGCCCUGUGUUAUGGUUUGGAUAUAAAGAACCUCUUUAUC